UGAAAUGAAAAUGAUUACGUACAAUGGGGAUGAAAUAGAUAUGAGAACCUUCAAAUCGCAAGACUGAUUAUUCUAAACUAUAAUUAUUCCGUUUCAAAUAUUUUAAGUUCUUGUAUGACUUAGAGAUUGAAGCAUUGAUUUCCUAAUUUUUUUAUCGAAAUGUACUGAAGAAUAUACGUUUCUUUAGAGAUA